rnacentral:tRNA from 1 species
UGGGGAUUAGUCUAGCGGUAGGACGGCGGGCUCUGGACCCGUUGGGCCAGGUUCGAAUCCUGGAUCCCCAGCCA